GGCUGGUUAACCACUCAUUCUGUAAGGAAUGCUGCUCACGUGAGGAUCCCCUUGGGUGCUGCUUUCAGCCUGGGAUUGCUCUGGCAUGACCACUUUGUGGACGAAAAGGGUUGCAAUGACCCACCCCGGGGUGGAGGCAGAAGAGGGGCUCUGAGUGACCUCCCAUGUGGGCACAGGGUGGUUGUGUUUGUGAUUUGCCCAGGAAUAGAACUGCUGGGAAAUACAGCCAGAGAAUUGCAUAACUCACCAUUCCUAAUGCAGAUACAAGAGUCUCACAGUUGCAGCCUCUCCCCAGAUGUGAUAGCUCUUGACUGGCGUCCCAAAAACCCCUGUUCUGCCAGUGAUGUGCAUCUGGUUGUGAUGGGGAGGACAACUGCAGCUCCUCUUGGAAUGUUGGCUAAAUCCCAACACAGCUGAUGCUGAUUCAAGUCACCUUCAACAUUUUCACAGUCCAUAGCUGUGUCCAAAAACCCCCAGCUGCUUCUGCAGCUUCCUUUGAAGAGGACUGUGUCAGAGCAAGUCUCCAGAAAACAGCAGGAAGACUAAGGCAGCCUGGCUGCCAGGAACAUGGAGCUGGUCACUUCGGCUCUACCGACCCUGAGGAGAGCCCUGGAACUGCCAUAGACACGUAGUGCCUCUGGCUGCCGGAUAGGAACUGGAAAAGCAUGAAGCAGCUCUGCAGAAAUGGAUGUGACUGUGUCUGCAGGACAACAAAGCCUCCAGCCAUAGGUUUAUGUAAGUUAAUGACGAAUGCUGCUUAAAGAGAUGGACCCGUCAUGUUUCCUAAGAUUGUUUACAUUGCUGGUCUGUGAAAGUCUUGAUUGAAACUGCUCUCAAUUUUUUAUCUGUCAGCAUCAUUGGAAAAGAGUCUGGAUAAAGCCCGAGUGCAGGCAUCUAUACACACUGGAAAAUAAACUGCAGAAAAAGAUGGAUGCUUUGAUGUCUGAAUCCUGCCUUUUCAUUUGUGACUGAAGACAGAAUUUCAGUUUGGUUUCUUUGGAAAUGGACACUAUCAAAGGACUCCCAUCAUGUUGGUGUCUACCAUGUACUUCUCAUCACCUUGCAACUGGAGCGAAUUGGAGUGAAUUAUUCAUGUUAGGUGGAUCUAUUUAAGCAAAGAUCAAAGCCUACUGGUUUUCUUUCACCAAAUCUUGUUUAAGAUAGUCUAACCAAUCCAUUAUGUACAAACUUCUGAAUAUUAUAUGCAUACUUACAUACUGCAUUUAUGGGCUUUUCUAUAAGCAAGCUGCUUUAUCAGAAGUUGACUAUAUGGUGUGGUAGUUGCUUUUGCUUUUAGCUCAGUAAAAUAAAUUCCUUCUCUCCAGAGCUUUUUCAAAGUAGAAAACCAAGAUAUUUUUUAUUUUGUGAUAGAUCUUUUCUUUGAAGGAGAAACAGAUUUCUUUUAGAAGCAUUUUGUGAAAAUGCCCAACUCAGACCCCCUUCUGGCAGCUGGGGCAGGCAAAGCCCAGGUUAAGUUCCAAGGGUUUUACUAAACAGUGCUCUUUUUGUUUCAUUUCUGUUUGCUUAGAUGUUCUUCUACUAAUGGAUGUAUGCAAUUUCCAAUUAAUUAUUAUCUGGAGCCAUCUCCAAAGGCAAUGCACUCUUUGUGUGGAUGUGUAUGAAAGAGAAAUUUGCCAACUCACUGCUGUCAAAAUAAUAUAGGAGGUUGUGAAAUGACUUGGUGGAAAAUCCAACAGAAGAAAUAUUUAAAACUUUAAGUAAGUAAAAUCCUGAUUUUUCAAAAGAGCUGAUCUCUCAUGUAAAGCUGCCAUAUUUGUCAAAAAGUGAUCUCCUGAUACCAAGUACUUGAAAAUCAAGCUUUUGAGCAAUUAGAGUUCAGUGCAAACAAUCAGGUGAAAUGUGUCUAGAAGAAUAAAUUUUUUCAUAAAUAAAUAUUUUGUUAUUCUUUUAAGUAAAGCAAUACAGUAACAUGAUGUAGUUUGCAGAAAGCAAACUACUGAACUAGCAAUUCUAAGCUAUUCCAUUAGUAUUGCUUUACAUUAUAUUAAUUACUGAAAUAUCCUAGCAUCUUACACAUUUGAUCAUGCAAUUAUACCAAAAAAUAUAAACUGGAAAAUUAUAUGUAAAAUCUAUAUGAAGGAAAACUUUAUACUUUCGCUUAAUGUGAUUUUAUAUUCCUUCCCCUCCCCGCCCUCAUUUCUGUACCUAGAAAUUUUACUUAAAAUAACAUGGAAAAAAAUCAUUUUUACUUGAUUCUUUUUCUAAGGGCUACACAUUAUUAAUGUCUUAUGAAACUUUCAUUGUAUUUUUUCAAUACAAGAGCUAACAGCUCAUCAUAGUCUAUGCUGUCAAUGGAUGUCUUGUUUAUCUGUGAAUCUUUUAGCAAGAGGGGUUUGCUCAGUCACUAUAUCUGAUAAACAGAUGAAUAAAUCAAUGGUUGUCACUUUGAUACUUGUUCACAUGUAUUUAUUAAAAGAAACUGAUUUAACUUUUAAUAUUUUUCUGAUGAUCUAUAAGAAAGCAAAUAAUUAUUUUCAGUCUCCUCAGAGACACCUGGUAAAAAGUAGCCUCAUCUUCAUAAGGGAUCUGGAGCAUUACUAGUCCUCUCGCCUUGAGAACUAUUGAUUAUUACAUUGUAGAAAAAUAUAUACUAAGAUUUAGAGUCCCAAAGGCACUUAGGCCCAUAAAUCCCAUUGAUUUCAAUUGGAAUUAAAUUUCUCCAUGAGUUCAGAGUAUUAGGUUUUAUUGGAGAUUUUUUUUAAUAUAAUUUCACUCAUCAAAUUAUCUUUGAUUAGAAGACAAUGAAGAAGUAACAGCACAAGCCUUUGAGUCUCCUUCAGAUGAGUUAAUUCUGUAGGCAGCAUUAGUGCUGUGGAAAUAUAGUAGGAGAGGUGUGGUUUUGGUCUUAAUCUCUCAUUUGGGUAUGGUGAGAGCUUCAGAAGUUUCACCGUUAUUACAAGUAUUUUUGGAAUGUGCUGCUGCAUUUUCCUAUGGCACACACUCUUCCUGUGUCCUUCCUCAACAGGUUUCCAAGCAGUCCAUGGAGGUUAAUAUAAUAAAAGGUUAGCACUGUGGAUCUGAUCUUUGUUUAGAUAUGAAAACAGGUGUGCUGUUUGGCUGGGGUUGCACUUGUGCAGUUUAUUGUACUUAAACAACAGAGAGCAUUGAUGCUGCUAAUUAGACUCAGUUUAAACUUUGUGAUUGAGUGAUACUUAGCUUUACUAACUUUCUUUUCCUUGGGAAUGCAUUAGUUAUUUCAGACUGCAAAAGUAUCAACUCAUAGAGAAAUUAGAGUUGGAGAACUUUGAUAAUUCAUUGGAUUGUUGAGAUUAAUACAGAAGAGCUGUGGUUCCCUGAAUAUAAUUUGAUUUUUAUUAACAUGCUAGAACGUAAAAUAGAUAACAGUGUGCAGUGAGAAAAUCUAGCUACUCCACUCCAUGAAAAAUCUGUUUGUUGAAAACUAAUUUAUCCAUCUGGUUAGUCUGAUAUCUGUAAUCUCUAUUUAGUUGUAACUGGCCACACAGCACAGAAUGUCCAGGGCAUAGGCCUCACAUUGUCUCAGUGAUAUGAACUUCGUCUGUUCCAAAUAUUAUGCAUAAAUAUUACAACUCUGCAGACUGACCACCUUAAUGACACUCUUGUGCCCUUAGAACAAGCAUCUUACUGAAUGGAAGA